rnacentral:tRNA from 1 species
UAGCCCAGUGGUUAAGGCUAUGGAUCGCCAAUCCGGAGACGGUGGGUUCGAUUCCCAU